AUUUCCAUCCCCUUAGGGGUCUGAUUUUAGA
rnacentral:other from 2 species